rnacentral:rRNA from 1 species
CGGCGAGUGAAGCGGCAACAGCUCAAAUUUGAAAUCUGGCCUCGGCCCGAGUUGUAAUUUGCAGAGGAUGCUUCUGGCGCGGUGCCUUCCGAGUUCCCUGGAACGGGACGCCACAGAGGGUGAGAGCCCCGUAUGGUCGGACACCAAGCCUGUGUGAAGCUCCUUCGACGAGUCGAGUAGUUUGGGAAUGCUGCUCUAAAUGGGAGGUAAAUCUCUUCUAAAGCUAAAUACCGGCCAGAGACCGAUAGCGCACAAGUAGAGUGAUCGAAAGAUGAAAAGCACCUUGAAAAGGGGGUUAAAUAGUACGUGAAAUUGUUGAAAGGGAAGCACUUAUGACCAGACUUGGGCCGGGCGGCUCAUCAGGGGUUCUCCCCUGUGCACUCCGCCCGGCACAGGCCAGCAUCGGUUCUCGUGGGGGGAUAAGACCGUCAGGAACGUAGCACCCUCCGGGGUGUGUUAUAGCCUGGCGGACGAUACCCCCGUGGGGACCGAGGUCCGCGCUCCGCAAGGAUGCUGGCGUAAUGGUCAUCAGUGACCCGUCUUGAAACACGG